UGCUAGCUCCUGGUUGUUUAUUAAUUGGUCAUGUUGAAAUUACUUUGUUUCUUCCACAGUAUUUAAUGUAAGUUGAAUUGAUUAUGCACUUUCUAAUUGUGUUAGUGUGUUGAAACCUGGCAUGUCUGUUAUGGUGGUCUAUCAAUCAGUUUUUGUUUUAUUGACUGUGAAUAUUAGAGGACCUUGGUAUCCUGAAAAAUCUUACAAGUACUGGAAGAAGUGAAUCAGGCUCUAAACAGAAACAAGAGGAUAGUGGGCUUCAUUAUUGCUGGUAUAGCAGCUUUAAUUAAGUUAGUAGCUAGCACCACUGCUGCAAUUGCUUUGACACAAGAAGUUUAGAUAGCUACUUUUGUUAAUCAUUUAGCAAAAAAUGUUACUAAUGUCCUGAGUAUUCAAGAGGAUUUAGACAGGCAUUUAAAACAAUGGAUUGAUGUUCUUAAUGAUGCUGUUCAAAUUAUUAGAUAGGAGGUUCAGUGCUUAAGAGUAGGAAAUCAUCUUGAUUGUCAUGCUAAAUGGAUUUAUGUUCCUUCUAAAAUUUACAAUGAUAGUCACUAUAAUUGGGAAAAGGUUCAAAGGCACUUGUAGGGUGUUUGCCAUAUAAUUCCAACACCUCUCUGGAUAUUUUAACUUUGAAUAGUGAGAUUAUGAAUUUAAG
rnacentral:lncRNA from 1 species